AACGAACGCUGGCGGCAUGCCUAACACAUGCAAGUCGAACGAGACCUUCGGGUCUAGUGGCGCACGGGUGCGUAACGCGUGGGAACCUGCCCUUAGGUUCGGAAUAACUCCCUGAAAGGGGUGCUAAUACCGGAUAAUGUCUUCAGACCAAAGAUUUAUCGCCUUUGGAUGGGCCCGCGUUGGAUUAGCUAGUUGGUAGGGUAAAAGCCUACCAAGGCGACGAUACAUAGCUGGUCUGAGAGGAUGAUCAGCCACACUGGGACUGAGACACGGCCCAGACUACUACGGGAGGCAGCAGUGGGGAAUAUUGGACAAUGGGCGAAGGCCUGAUCCAGCAAGGCCGCGUGAGUGAUGAAGGCCUUAGGGUUGUAAAGCUCUUUUACCCGGGAUGAUAAUGACAGUACCGGGAGAAUAAGCACCGGCUAACUCCGUG
rnacentral:rRNA from 1 species